CUUGCCAUGCUAAAUGCCCUGAAGGCACUAGAUCAUGCUUGAUCUAAGAAGCUAAGUAGGAUCAGACCUGGUUAGUGGGUAGAUGGGAGACCACCAAAGACUACCAGGUGCGGUAGGC
rnacentral:rRNA from 11 species